rnacentral:rRNA from 1 species
AAACAACUCUCAGCAACGGAUAUCUUGGCUCUUGCAACGAUGAAGAACGCAGCGAAAUGCGAUACGUAGUGUGAAUUGCAGAAUNCCGCGAAUCAUCGAGUCUUUGAACGCAAGUUGCGCCCGAGGCUUAUCCCAAGGGCAUUUCCGCUAGAGCGUCACCGCGCCCCCCCCACCGAUCCACUCCCGGCGAGUCGGGUCGAGUGAAAGUGGCCAUCCCGGACGGAGGGUGUUCCCUU